GCUACCUAAGGUUUAACUCUCAACCUUCUGAGUGGGAGGACAGAGUCUUCACCACUAGGCUAUCAUGUCCCUCAUACAACUUCAUCUUACGCUAACCAAGUUUAUUCUAAAACUCUGCUGCUCCAUACUUGCUGUCUGAAAAAUUCCAACGGACAGAAUUCUUCUUUGAAGUCUUCCUUUGCACUUGGACUGGAAUGUGAAAGACCAGCGAGCCAUCAAGAGCCUUCUGUGAUUGUGGCAGAAUACAAAUGUGAUGAACACCACCAUAAAUAAAUACAUCUCACCGAACUGACUUCUGAUUCCAAUUUCUGCCAUUUCGAGCCGUAGUGGCAUAGUGGUUAGAAUGCAGUAUUGCAAGCUGACUAUGAACCAGGAGUUCGAUCCUGACCAGCUCAUGGUUGAUUCAGCCUUCCAUCCUUCCAAG